CUGGGGCUGCGGUGGCAGAAAGCACCUGUCUGUGAAGCGGAGCAGGAGGAAGAAGCUGCUGCGCAGCCUGAGCCUUCUGCUGCUUUAAGCGCGGCAGUGGGGACGUGGACAGCAGGAUUCAUCAUCCCCAGGAACAACCGUUCUGCUCAUCCCCACCACCCCUCCACCAGCACUGGAGGGCCACAGAGCCAGGUUAAGUUAUAUGUUGGGUUCAUCUGUAUGGAGCUGGGCAGCUGGAUCACAGCUGUGAUCCUCUGUAUCUGGAGGAAUGGUUAAAAUAGUCCCCCGAAGUAUUCCUUCUUUCCUUCACUCUCCUGCCAUAAGGCAGGACAAACACCUUUACACACUGCUGAUGACAGUUUUUCUUGUUGAUGAACAUUUUCCUACUCCAAGGCAUCUUUGGGGUAAUGGCUUCGUUCCUUCGGUGUGUCUGUAUAGUUCCCAGCGCAGCUCUUGUGCCACGUUAAUUAUCUUCCACAUGGAACUUGUUUUGUGCCAGCAGAAAUGUACUCAGGGUAGUAUAAGAAGUGAAAUAAAAAUGGCUCCUUUCCCCAAAAGAGCUCUCUGGUUAUACAA